UACGCAGGGUGCGAGCGUUAAUCGGAAUUACUGGGCGUAAAGCGUGCGCAGGCGGUUCGUUAAGUCAGCUGUGAAAGCCCCGGGCUCAACCUGGGAACUGCGGUUGAAACUGGCGAACUAGAAUCUGGCAGAGGGGGGUGGAAUUCCACGUGUAGCAGUGAAAUGCGUAGAGAUGUGGAGGAACACCGAUGGCGAAGGCAGCCCCCUGGGCUAAGAUUGACGCUCAGGCACGAAAGCGUGGGGAGCAAACAGG
rnacentral:rRNA from 1 species